rnacentral:lncRNA from 11 species
CUGAGUUCAAUCCAGGAAAGUUUGUUUGAUUCUGCCUAAGAUCAGGUUCCUGGACAGCACUUGGAAAAAUAAUUCCCAACAAUUUCCAGAUUCUCCUGUCAGGAUGGAACUUUUCCAGGUUGUGCUAUUGGUUGACUUUGUCCAUUGCUAAGUGUUGCAUUUGGUUUGUGGACUUGGUUAUUACAGCCCCAUCAUUUUAGAAAUUUAUUGAAGCCCAUAGACCUCAGGGCCUAACUGAAAGGAUAAACAUAUAAAGAGAGGUGUCCUGUCUGUAGCAGGUGGCUGUAGUAUUAGCAGAGGAAAUGUGGCAGAUGAGCUGCUAGUCCCAGGUACCAGAUGGCAAAGAAAAAAGAUCCAGACUGGCUGUUUGGAACUAACAGAAAGCAAUGUUAGAGCACUGCAGACGGUACCUGCUCGUCUUGCUGCACCUUUCAUCUUGGCCCCUCCUGCAAGGCCACCCCAGUGUCAUGUGCCUCUGGUCAUUGGUGAUUAGACUACAAUUUUUCUCCCAAACUGACAAAACGCAUUUGCCUCCAUAGAUAGCCUCAUUUGACACAAAUGACAUGUCUGGCGCUUAAUUGACUUUUUGAAAUGUGUAUUUCAACAAAGAACAAAAUAUUUUGAGACUACAAUGUAUUUUCCUCCAGUUGAAGGGAUGAGUA